rnacentral:lncRNA from 1 species
UAAUUUUGAUUUUGUGGAGAUGAGUAACAAAAUGAAAUGUAUUUCAUCAUCCAUAAACUCUCGUCUCUCCAUCCUCCACCAACCCUCUCUCUCUCAAAAAAUUUCACUCUUCAAUCGUAAACUCAUGUCAAUUCCCACUAAAAUUCCCAUUUCUUCCCUCUCCGCCGCUCCAUUCCUCAACCCCGCAAAAACCCCCACACCGCCUCACAGAUUCUUCUUCUUCUCCAAGAACAUCACCUUUCAAAG